rnacentral:lncRNA from 1 species
GGCUCUCAGCGGGUCCCAGCUGACGGAAGGUGGGGGAGGAGUGCGAGGGUCUCUGAGACAGGUUGGGAGCCAGCCCCACCUCCAUUUCCAAAGCGGGGGUCCAGGCACAGGAACAGCCAAACGCCCGAACCAGCGGGGUUACCUUUGCCACUUCAUCCAAUCCGAGCAUCGGCUGACAAGUUUAUUUAAUCCCUGAACCUGGAUCCAAGGCAUCUCCCUGUAGAAAACAUCAGACCGGGGCAGAGAUUGACAAAGCAACCCAAAGCAGCAGCUGCCAACGGCCGCUGUGCCCACCUCAUCAGCAGCUAAAGAGUAUAAUUUUAAAAAAAGUCACAGAAGAAUGUGGAGACACUUAGCAAAACGGACUCUCAUAAGAUUUGAGGAAACUCCUAAGGUCCCUCCAGUGUACAACAAUUUGGAACUUCCAUUUUCUCAACAACUGCUCUUCCAAGAUGCUGCCUCAUUUCAGAGCCAUGUUUUACUCAUGAGCUGGUCCUGUCCAGAAAACAGCCAAUGCUCAUUCCCGACACUUUCUUGUCACUGCUCUUUUCUGUUCCCUAUUUUGUCAGUAAGGAAGUAAACAACCGCUAAAACAACCCUCUAACAACAGAAGACCCUCAUGAGAACACCAGGCAGCAGAAGCUUCUUUAGCAGUAAAAGAUAUCUGGAUAUUCAUAUUUUGUUCCAUGAUCUUCAACAUUAAAUAAAUAAACUUAAUAUUCAAGUCUC